rnacentral:rRNA from 1 species
UUCCCCUUCGGGGGCAAAGUGACAGGUGGUGCAUGGUUGUCGUCAGCUCGUGUCGUGAGAUGUUGGGUUAAGUCCCGCAACGAGCGCAACCCUUAUUGUUAGUUGCCAUCAUUUAGUUGGGCACUCUAGCGAGACUGCCGGUGACAAACCGGAGGAAGGUGGGGAUGACGUCAAAUCAUCAUGCCCCUUAUGACCUGGGCUACACACGUGCUACAAUGGGAAGUACAACGAGUUGCGAAGUCGUGAGGCUAAGCUAAUCUCUUAAAGCUUCUCUCAGUUUGGAUUGUAGGCUGCAACUCGCCUACAUGAAGCCGGAAUCGUUUGUAAUUGCCGAUCAGCACGCCGCGGUGA